rnacentral:tRNA from 1 species
GUCGCCGUUGCCGGACAUGACCCACAGGCCGGUGGUGUGGGCCGCGACGGCCAGAUCGGCGCGGCCGUCGCCGUUGAAGUCGGCGGCGGCGAUG